ACUCCUGCGGGAGGCAGCAGUGGGGAAUUUUGGACAAUGGGCGAAAGCCUGAUCCAGCAAUGCCGCGUGUGUGAAGAAGGCCUUCGGGUUGUAAAGCACUUUUGUCCGGAAAGAAAUCCUUGGCUCUAAUACAGUCGGGGGAUGACGGUACCGGAAGAAUAAGCACCGGCUAACUACGUGCCAGCAGCCGCGGUAAUACGUAGGGUGCGAGCGUUAAUCGGAAUUACUGGGCGUAAAGCGUGCGCAGGCGGUUUGCUAAGACCGAUGUGAAAUCCCCGGGCUCAACCUGGGAACUGCAUUGGUGACUGGCAGGCUAGAGUAUGGCAGAGGGAGGUAGAAUUCCACGUGUAGCAGUGAACUGCGUAGAGAUGUGGAGGAAUACCGAUGGCGAAGGCAGCCCCCUGGGCCAAUACUGACGCUCAUGCACGAAAGCGUGGGGAGCAAACAGGAUUAGAAACCCUGGUAGUCCCAG
rnacentral:rRNA from 1 species